UUUCAGCGCGUCAUCCUAUAACAACCAAUUUAGUCUGGUCAUUGGUUUAAUUUUAGAUUCCGAACUGCAGAAGUAUAUGUGUAUAGCAGCUAGAAGUUAGUACUAACAAGAAACAGACCAAAGUGGUACACAUCUCUGCAAUCAGUUCACAAAAUUUAAUCAAAGAUAUUUUGAAAAUAUUGGCAAAUUCUGAAACAAGAAAGAUGUCAUUUCAAGAAAGAUAAACCGACUUGGACGAUUAGGUGGCAGAGAUGUCCUGUUCAUCGUUAACAACAUCAUGAAGAAUCUCAGUGUCACUUAUGUACAACGCCGUUACAAUUGGACAGGAUAAAAUGGCAAGCGUGAAUUAGGGGCACAUGCUACA